rnacentral:SRP_RNA from 1 species
CUCAAGGUCGGCUUCAGCUACAGCUAUUUCUAGGGAUGAGACCACCACACCUCGCCACGUCCUGCCGAGUUGGUGUGCUGGACGCUUGAGGCUAGGAAAGCAAA